rnacentral:ribozyme from 13 species
ACACAAAAUGAGAACACAAAACAAAAAUAGACAAUUGGAAAUUACAAACCAAUAAAAAUCUUUCUUCUCUCUUUUUUUUUGUUUUUUUCUCUCCCCCCCUCUCUCCU